AAUAGAUACCCCGGUAGUCCACGCUGUAAACGAUGCGCACUAGGUGUCGGGGGUAUCGACCCCCUCGGUGCCGCAGCUAACGCGAUAAGUGCGCCGCCUGAGGACUACGGCCGCAAGGCUAAAACUCAAAGGAAUUGACGGGGGCUCACACAAGCGGUGGAGCAUGUGGCUUAAUUCGAGGCUACGCGAAGAACCUUAUCCCAGACUUGACAUGUGCGAUAGCGGUGGGCGGUAACUCCCGGAAACGGGGUGUGAUUCCUCGCAAGAGGAGGACCCACUACAGGUGCUGCAUGGCUGUCGUCAGCUCGUGUCGUGAGAUGUCGGGUUAAGUCCCAUAACGAGCGAAACCCUUACCUUUAGUUACUACGGGUCAUGCCGAGGACUCUAAAGGGACUGCCGGUGUCAAACCGGAGGAAGGCGGGGAUGACGUCAAGUCCUCAUGGCCUUUACGUCUGGGGCUGCACACGUGCUACAAUGGCGUGAACAAAGGGAAGCCAAGGCGCGAGCCGGAGCAAAUCCCAAAAAACACGCCCCAGUUCAGAUCGG
rnacentral:rRNA from 1 species